rnacentral:tRNA from 1 species
GCCUUCGUGGUGUAGCGGCCUGCAUGCUCGACGCGUAACCGAGAGUCCAUGGUUCGAUUCCCGGCGAAGGCG